UAUUGAUGGCACGUUGACACAACUCAAGAAAAUAUGAGUUGUUGGUCUCUCGUUAUGAAAGUCCUGCUGCAAGAACUUUUUUUCAUAAUGUAGUUACAUUUGCUAAAGAAAAUUGGUAGACCAGAGCUGGUAAAAGCCACUUUAUAUGUUAUGUCGUAAAGUUAUUAACUUUUUAAUAUCAAAAAUAAAAAUGGAUAGUACAGGAAAUUUUGGAAACUUCCAUUCAGGAAACUAUCUAUACAUAAAUUGCUCUGAGUAAUUCCAAUUUUGAUAUAUGAAUGUACAUUUAAACUGGUAACUAUUUUACCUUUUUUGCGGUUUUUUGCGGUUACAAAUCAAAUUAAGAAAUCAGAAGAUCAAGAAUACGAAUGUAGAAGAUGAUGUUGCACAAACAAGUGCAUGAUGAACUAGCGGUAGACGGUAUUUUAGGAAGAUUUUUCAUAAUGCAUAAACCAGAGAAAACAGAUAUUUAUAUUUCUAAAAUAUUUGUUUAUGAGUAUAUCAAUUUCAUUAGUAAUAUUUGACUUAAUAUUAAUGAAAACUUUUAUUUUUUGC